rnacentral:misc_RNA from 1 species
AACAAUGUAUAAUUCCAUAUGCUUGUUUUAAUUUCUUGAAAGAAACUUUCUUCCAAAAAAAAAAAACAAGCAUAUGGAAUUAUACAUUGUUCAUAAGCAUUGGUUAACCACACUCUCGUUAAACAGUGAAGUAUUAUAAGUUCUGCAAAUAGGCAUGGAGCAAGAAGUCAAGCCUUAGUACUACGAUACACAGCCAUAAAAAAUUUCACCAUCUCCAAAUAAAGUCACUGCCUCAGGCUUUCAACAAUGUAAGAUGCAUACAGGUCCAUGGAGUACUUGAUGGCAUCAAUGGCAGCCUUAGCUGGCAAGAAGUCUUCCACAUCAACUUUCUUGUUCUCGUUCUUUUUAUAGUCCUCAAAAAAGCGGCGGAU